GAAAUGCGAUACGCAAUGCGAAUUGCAGAAUCCGCGAGUCAUCAGAUCUUUGAACGCAAUUGGCGCCGAUCGUAUCGGCAUGUUUGUUUCAGUGUGGGAAGGAAUCACAAAUCAUAAUGCGAUUGAAAUUUUUUUCAUAUCUUUCUCUCGUUAAACACGUCGGUGUCUGUGAGAAUAUCAUGGGAACACCCACGAACGAAGUAGUCUCAUUUAUGAGAUCUCGUUUGUAAAGGGUAAAUAAAAAUCUCUGUAUUCAAUAAAACGCAGCCCCAAAAAAACCACUGGGUGGAAUUGAUGCCUUUAAAAAAAAGUAUCUCUUUCCCCUUUCUCUCUUACACCUGAAAUCAAGCAAGACGACCCGCUGAACUUAA
rnacentral:misc_RNA from 1 species